UACAGAGACUGCAAGCGUUAUUCGGAUUCACUGGGCGUAAAGGGUGCGCAGGCGGUCGGGUGUGUCAGAUGUGAAAUCCCGAGGCUCAACCUCGGAACUGCGUCUGAAACUACUCGACUAGAGUACUGGAGAGGGUAACGGAAUUCACGGUGUAGCAGUGAAGUGCGUAGAUAUCGUGAGGAACACCAGAGGCGAAGGCGGUUACCUGGACAGUUACUGACGCUCAGGCACGAAAGCAUGGGGAGCAAAAGGG
rnacentral:rRNA from 1 species